rnacentral:rRNA from 1 species
CCUACGGGGGGGCAGCAGUGAGGAAUAUUGGUCAAUGGGCGGGAGCCUGAACCAGCCAAGUCGCGUGAGGGAAGACGGUCCUACGGAUUGUAAACCUCUUUUGCCGGGGAGCAACGGGGUCCUUGCGAGGGCCCGAUGAGAGUACCCGGAGAAAAAGCAUCGGCUAACUCCGUGCCAGCAGCCGCGGUAAUACGGAGGAUGCGAGCGUUAUCCGGAUUUAUUGGGUUUAAAGGGUGCGUAGGCGGGCUGUUAAGUCAGCGGUCAAAUGUCGGGGCUCAACCCCGGCCUGCCGUUGAAACUGGCGGCCUCGAGUGGGUGAGAAGUAUGCGGAAUGCGUGGUGUAGCGGUGAAAUGCUUAGAGAUCAUACAGAACACCGAUUGCGAAGGCAGCUUACCAAACUAUAUCUGACGUUGAGGCACGAAAGCGUGGGUAGCAAACAGGAUUAGAUACCCGAGUAGUC